GCCGCCGUGGCGGAACUGGUAUACGCGCGACACUUAAAAUGUCGUGUCCGGAAGGACAUGUCGGUUCGACUCCGACCGGCGGCA
rnacentral:tRNA from 1 species